rnacentral:tRNA from 2 species
GCGGCCGUGGCGGAAUGGGUAGACGCACCAGGUUUAGGUCCUGGCGCUGCAAGGCGUGAAGGUUCGACUCCUUUCGGCCGCACCA